CCUGGCCCUAGAAGCAUUGCAGGUGUGGUUGCUAUGUCACAUGUGUGUCAGUAGGUAGCAAAGAGGAGAAAGGCUAUGUCUACUUUCAGUGUUCUGACCUCUGAACAUGUAAAUGAUUACUAACCUAACAUU